UCAUAAGGUCAUCUUUUCAAAUGGGUAAGUGCUUCUAAGAUGAAGUUACUUUUCCAACUGCACAGAAAGAACUUUUCUGCUACCUAGAUUCUUAUAUUUAUUUACCAUCAUUGAGCAUAAUGGUCUCAGUAAGCCUGGCCAUUGUCUGAGUUAAACAGCCUCAUAUAUUAGGAAGAAAGUGGACCAGAAUUCAGAACAACCCUGAUUCAAAUCCCAACUUUGCUACUAACAAGUGAUGUGCUGUUAAGCCGGUGUCUUAACUCUUCCGGGUCUCAGUUUCUUAUCGUAAAAUGGGUUUAAAAUCUCAGCCAUAUAUCACAAAUUUUUUUGUGAGGAUUCAAUGGAACAAGGUAUUAUAGAUGGUGGCUUUUAAGAAAAUGCUCAUUUGGAGAGUUGGAACUUGAAGUGGUAAGUUUAACACUGCACAGGGUAAGGGAAGAAGCAUUGGCCUAGACCAAGCUUGAGUGUGCACCACCGUCACCUGGAGGGCUUGUUCCAGCACGGAGGGCUGGACCCACCCCCAGAGUUUCUGAUUUAUUAGGUCUGUGCUGGGCCCUGAGAAUGUUUAUUUAAAACAAAUUCCUGGAUGCUACUGGUUCGGUUGCCACACUCUGAGACCCACUGGCCUUGAGCUUAGAAGACGUGGGUUUGAUUUCUGGAUUCCACAGUUUGCUAGCUAUAACUUAGGGAAUUUAAAUUACUUACCUGAGUCUUGGUUUCUGAUUUGUAAACUGAACUGUAAACUACCUGUUCUUCUCAUUUUAUAAGACUUUUGUGAGGAUAAAAGAAUCCAUAUGCAAAUUA